rnacentral:rRNA from 1 species
UCGCCCUACGGGAGGCAGCAGUGGGGAAUAUUGGGCAAUGGGCGCAAGCCUGACCCAGCAACGCCGCGUGAAGGAAGAAGGCUUUCGGGUUGUAAACUUCUUUUGUCAGGGACGAAGCAAGUGACGGUACCUGACGAAUAAGCCACGGCUAACUACGUGCCAGCAGCCGCGGUAAUACGUAGGUGGCAAGCGUUAUCCGGAUUUAUUGGUUGUAAAGGGUGUGUAGGCGGGAAUGAAAGUCAGAUGUGAAAACUAUGGGUUGAACAAAUAGCUUGCAUUUGAAAUUGUAUUUUUUGAGUGUUGGG